ACGUUCGGAUUGUAGUCUGCAACCCGACUACAUGAAGCUGGAAUCGCUAGUAAUCGCGGAUCAGAAUGCCGCGGUGAAUACGUUCCCGGGUCUUGUACACACCGCCCGUCACACCAUGGGAGUCGGAAAUGCCCGAAGUCUGUGACCCAACCGGAAGGAGGGAGCAGCCGAAGGCAGGUCGGAUGACUGGGGUGAAGUCGUAACAAGGUAAC
rnacentral:rRNA from 1 species